AUUGCCUUUGCUGGUGUUUUGUGAGUGAGCUCAGGAUAAGGGAUCCUUCUAUGCAGGUCUCGUUUGGGUUCCACCACCUUUGUACAUCACCUGAACACCCAGGGCUUGCCUGCAUCUCCAACAAGCCAACACCACCCAACUCUGGACCACAGCAUUUUGCCUGGGCCGUCCCCUCCCUGCAGGGGAGGCAGACCCCCCUGCCACAUCUCACCUCUGCGGAUGGCUGCGAGCAGGUCGCUCCGGGCAUCGCUCAUAGGCAUCAGCGGGAUCGGCGGCUUCCGGGACUCGGCGGCGGGGGCCGGCGGUGAGGCUGAGUGCGCUGGCGAGGUGCUAUCCCCUCUAAAACCCAGGCAAUGAAACAUAGAAACGAGGGCUGUGCUUAGACACACUGAAGUUUGGAGGAUGAAUGAUGAAUUCAUCCUACUGCUGACCCAUCCAUCCAGGUGCUGCACUCCCCUGCUUGGGUUGCCAGGCACCAGGCAGCCAUAGACAAGCAAUCCUGAACUGCACCGAAAGCGGCCGUGGUUCUGCACCCAUUGGGAUUUCAGCACGGCGGCAGCGAGACCUCGAGCAUUCAGCUGCUAUGAAAGCUCUGCAAGUCGCUGAAUCACGAAGCACAAGGCCCAGCGCUGCACAUGCAUGCCUGCGUGCUGGAGGGGCUCUGAGCUGCAGAGGGACACGUGCAGGCAGCCACCGGCCCCAGCAAUCCUGCCAAGCAGUGCCCCCUCCCCCCCCGUGUGCAAAUGGAAAGCACUGGUAGAGCCUUGCAGCAGGGAUGUAAAGUGAUGGCCCCUCCCUGCCAUGCAAGGGUGCAAAGCGCACAGGUUCCCUCUCCAUGCAGGAAUGCAAAGUGACAGCACCCCCGCGGCCGUGCGGUGUGCAAAGAGGCUGAGACACCCCCCCCCCCCCACACACACAUACUCCAUGUGUGGACGCAGAGAGUCCUCGACUCCCCCACACUGACUGCUCUAGGACUCCUUCCCGAUGGGAGGUGCAGGCAGCCUUACACCCCCGCCCCAUGCAUGGGCAAAAACCUCCAUGAAGAGCUGGGAAGUGAGGGUCUCCCCCCAUCAUGAAAAUCGGCAAAGUGACGGGGGACCCCUCCCCACGCAAGGAUGCACAGCGUCCAGCCCCCCUACGCAUGGAUACGGUUGGGGGGGAGCACAGGGAUCCAAAGUGGAGGCGAUACUCCCCCUCCCCAAGGAUGCAAAGCUGUAUCCUCCCCGACUCAA